UACAGAGGGGGCAAGCGUUGUUCGGAAUUACUGGGCGUAAAGGGCUCGUAGGCGGCCAACUAAGUCAGACGUGAAAUCCCUCGGCUUAACCGGGGAACUGCGUCUGAUACUGGAUGGCUUGAGAUUGGGAGAGGGAUGCGGAAUUCCAGGUGUAGCGGUGAAAUGCGUAGAUAUCUGGAGGAACACCGGUGGCGAAGGUGGCAUCCUGGACCAACACUGACGCUGAGGAGCGAAAGCCAGGGGAGCAAACGGG
rnacentral:rRNA from 1 species